AUCAUGUAUCAAUCAGAUUUUGUGGUAUCAAUAAAAUAACUUUUAUAUUACAAGUGGAAACUUAAUAUGAUAUCAUAUAGAAACUACACUCUAAUCAUCAAUUUCAUCGCUUCAACACUCAUCAUCAAAUUCACCCAAAACCAAGAACACCGUCAAUCUAACCUAGAAAGUCCAGACAAUAAACCAAGCAUUUCUUACACUAAACCCAUAAAAAAUCUAGAAUCAUCACCAACUCCACCAACAAAUUAAGCAGAAACUCA
rnacentral:lncRNA from 1 species